UAAGAGUGAGAGAAGCCCUCACCGUGACUGUGGCCUCUACAGGAUUCUAAAACUCAUCCUAAGUUAAUUUGGAAUGGAAAUGUUCAAGGAAUACAUGGAUCACUAUUUCACGUCACUCCGUAGCCCAGAACUAAGAUCUGGCUUCUGAGAAGUGGCAGCAGGCACAUGGUAAUGAGACACAGAGAACAGACAAAGGAAGAUCUGUGCAGAAAUUGAGGACCUGUGAGAUAUCAGCACCCGAAGAGUCCACAGCACACACCUAUUAGCCUCUGUUUGCCAAUAUCAGGAAAAAUGAAAAAAAAUCAGAGCAGAGGGCAACAGCUAAAACUCAGGGAAAUCAUGGCAGUGGUCACGUUCUGUGUGCUGUAGACACACAAGAGGACCCCCAUGGACCCUCCAGAACUGAUCGGUCUGCACCCCAUUCAUCCCCUCGCUUUUGCAGGCUGCUCUCACCUCCCCUCUGGCAGUGGAAACUCCAUCUCCUGUCCCACUCUGAGCUCUCUGUGCCCAUCUCCCUUAUGGAGACACUCUGUGUCACCUCUAUUCCUCACUGUGGCCUGAUGGCCUUUGGGUUCUGGCUCUGGCUUCACUCUCAGGGCUAACCAGGACCACAUGCUGCUUAAUGCACACACUGACCCACUGGCUGUGGUCUGCGACCCGCAGGUGGCAGCAGCCAUUCCUCCCCCAGCCCCAGUCCUGGCCUCUGCUGACUCCCCAUGACAUCACCUUAGAGGUUGGCAAUAGAUGAUUGAUCAUGUACACAGGUUGUUCCUGAGGUAGGCCCCUUCCUGGAGGGCACAGGACUCCUCUGAUGUGUGUCCUUAGCCUGAAGACUCCCGAUGGGCUUGAUAAACUCUCUGAGAAAUGCAGUGAGACAGUGGCAUUCAGUUCUCCUCCUUCCCUCUCUCCUUUGCCCGGGGUUACUCUGUGCUGUGGCCUGAGAGCUCUCUGCGCUUCCUGGACUCCCUUCCAUUUCCCUCAUAGGAAUUUCCCCUAAUAAACCUUUUGCACAUCCAGUGCCCUCUGCGUGUCUGGACCAUGGACGACUUGGGACAAUAUCUGUCUGUCUGUGUAUCAGUCACAUUUGAUAAAACUGUUGUAAUCCUGGUCUCUUUAAGCAAACUGAGGCCAUGUUUCAA